rnacentral:piRNA from 1 species
UAGGACUCAUUUCAGCUGGACACCUG